AACGAACGCUGGCGGCAUGCCUAACACAUGCGAGUCGAACGAAACCUUCGGGUCUAGUUGCGCACGUGUGCGUAACGCGUGGUAACCUGCCCUUAGGUUCGGUAUAACUCCCCGAAAGGGGUGCUAAUACCGGAUAAUCUCUUCGGACCAAAGAUUUAUCGCCUUUGGAUGGGCCCUCGUUGGAUUAGCUAGUUGGUAGGGUAAAAGCAUACCAAGGGGAGGAUCCAUAGCUGGUCGGAGAGGAUGAUCAGCCACACUGGGACUGAGACACGGCCCAGAAUCCUACGGGAGGCAGCAGUGGGGAAUAUUGGACAAUGGGCGAAAGCCUGAUAAAGCAAUGCCGGGUGAGUGAUGAAGGCCUUAGGGUUGUAAAGCUGUUUUAGCCGGGAUGAUAAUGACAGUAACGGGAGAAUAAGCUCCGGCUAACUACGUG
rnacentral:rRNA from 1 species